rnacentral:rRNA from 1 species
GACGAACGCUGGCGGCGUGCUUAACACAUGCAAGUCGAACGGAAAGGCCCUGCUUUUGUGGGGUGCUCGAGUGGCGAACGGGUGUGUAACACGUGAGUAACCUGCCCUUGACUUUGGGAUAACUUCAGGAAACUGGGGCUAAUACCGGAUAGGAGCUCUAGCUGCAUGGUGGGGGUUGGAAAGUUUCGGCGGUUGGGGAUGGACUCGCGGCUUAUCAGCUUGUUGGUGGGGUAGCGGCUUACCAAGGCUUUGACGGGUAGCCGGCCUGAGAGGGUGACCGGGCACAAUGGGACUGGGAUACGGCCCAGAAUCCUACGGGGAGGAGGAGUGGGGGAUAAUGCACCAUGGGCGGAAGCCUGAGACAGAAACGCCGCGUGCGGAAUAACGGCCUUCGGGUUGUAAACCGCGUUCGCCUGUGACGAAGCGUGAGUGACGGUAAUAAGUAAAGAAGCACCGGCUAACUACGUG